rnacentral:rRNA from 1 species
AUUGAACGCUGGCGGCAGGCCUAACACAUGCAAGUCGAACGGUAACAGGAAACAGCUUGCUGUUUCGCUAACGAGUGGCGGACGGGUGAGUAAUGUCUGGGCAACUGCCUGAUGGAGGGGGAUAACUACUGGAAACGGUAGCUAAUACCGCAUAACGUCGCAAGACCAAAGAGGGGGACAUUCGGGCCUCUUGCCAUCGGAUGCGCCCAGCUGGGAUUAGCUAGUAGGUGGGGUAACGGCUCACCUAGGCGACGAUCCCUAGCUGGUCUGAGGGGAGGACCGGCCACACUAGAACUUAGACACGGUCCAGACUCCUACGGGAGGCAGCAGAGGGGAAUAGUGCACAGUGGGCGCAAGCCUGAUGCAGCCAUGCCGCGUGUAUGGAGAAGGCCUUCGGGUUGUAAAGUACGUUCUGCGGGGAGGAAGGGAGUAAAGUUAAUACCUUUGCUCAUUGACGUUACCCGCAGAAGAAGCACCGGCUAACUCCGUG